rnacentral:rRNA from 1 species
GACGAACGCUGGCGGCGUGCUUAACACAUGCAAGUCGAACGGAAAGGCCCUGCUUUUGUGGGGUGCUCGAGUGGCGAAGGGGUGAGUAACACGUGAGUAACCUGCCCUUGACUUUGGGAUAACUUCAGGAAACUGGGGCUAAUACCGGAUAGGAGCUCCUGCUCCAUGGUGGGGGUUGGAAAGUUUCGGCGGUUGGGGAUGGACUCGCGGCUUAUCAGCUUGUUGGUGGGGUAGUGGCUUACCAAGGCUUUGACGGGUAGCCGGCCUGAGAGGGUGACCGGCCACAUUGGGACUGAGAUACGGCCCAGACUCCUACGGGAGGCAGCAGUGGGGAAUAUUGCACAAUGGGCGGAAGCCUGAUGCAGCAACGCCGCGUGCGGGAUGACGGCCUUCGGGUUGUAAACCGCUUUCGCCUGUGACGAAGCGUGAGUGACGGUAAUGGGUAAAGAAGCACCGGCUAACUACGUG